AGAAGGUGCGCUCGUGCUGCUGUUACCUCGGGUAGGGAUAGCUCGGGAGAAAUGAACAGACCAGGGGUUAUGUUUAUGUCAAGGGGGCUAAAAUAAAUCCUCUGUCGCCUCCAGGUAAAGCAGUUGAGAAUGUCAGUGUACCGCCCACAAUCAGACAGACGGGCGCGUUGAGUGGACUGCCGAAUACAUCUCUCUUUAAUUUAACAAUGCUGUUGAAGCUGUUUGUAACACCUGCAUAACUUGUUCUACUGUGCAUGAAGAAUCUGCAAACAGCCUGGACAAGGCACAUGGACACUGUGUAGUCUGGUGGGCAGUCUUUCGUUAUCGUGUUUGUUUUGAGUCUAACGAUGGAGAGAGAGCAAUGGACGCACAAGCGCGAGUAUAUUCUGGCUAUGGCCGGGAACAUGGUCGGUCUGGGCAACGUCUGGAGAUUCCCCUAUCUCUGCUACAAGAACGGUGGAGGUGUGUUCUUGCUGCCUUACUGUGUGUUAGCUCUUCUGUCUGGUGUUCCCCUUUUCUUGAUGGAGAACGCGCUGGGCCAGUUCACCCAGGAGGGAACCAUCACCUGCUGGAAGAAGCUAUGCCCGCUGCUAGAGGGGGUUGGCUAUGCCAUUAUGGUGAUCCGGACAUAUUCAACAAUAUAUCUGGUUAUACUAGCGUAUUCGCUCUUCUACCUGCUCUCCUCCUUUGCCUCCGUGCUGCCAUGGACCACUUGCAGCAACGACUGGAACACAGAUGGUUGUGUGGAGUUGACGACUCCGAACAUGACCAGCCAACACUACGCUGAAUUCGGUGUCAACUCGACAUCUAAGGCGCCGAACAAUUCUGCAGUGAUGGAGUUCUGGGAGAGGCGUGUGCUCUCCAUGUCCGGGGGGAUCGAGGAGUUGGGGUCCGUCCAGUGGGAGCUGUGCGCCUGUCUCCUGGCCUGCUGGUUGGCCUGCUACUUCUGCAUAUGGAAGGGAGUCAAGUCCACUGGAAAGGUUGUGUAUGUCACGGCGGUGUUCCCCUACGUGAUGCUGGCCAUCCUGCUGGUCCGGGGCUUGACUCUACCCGGAGCUUGGCAGGGGGUGGUCUACUACCUGAGGCCAGACUUCACCCGUCUCACACGCCUGCAGGUGUGGAUCGAGGCUGGAACCCAGGUGUUCUACUCCUACGGUGUGGCUGCAGGCACCAUCAACACCCUGGGGAGCUACAACAAGAAGAAUAACAACUGUUACAAGGACAGUCUUUGGCUCUGUGCUCUGAACAGCGCCACCAGUUUCGUUGCUGGGUUUGCCGUCUUCUCUAUCCUUGGAUUCAUGGCACAUCAACAGGAUGUCACCAUGGACAAUGUGGUGGAAUCUGGCCCUGGUUUAGCGUUCAUAGCGUUUCCCCAAGCUGUGGCUAUGAUGCCUGUUCCUCAGUUGUGGGCGGUCUGCUUCUUCAUCAUGCUCAUCAUGCUGGGCCUGGACACACUGUUUGCCGGCCUGGAGACCAUUGUGUCCAGCGUCAGCGACCUGUUCCCCAGGCAGAUGAGGCAGCCGUGGCGCAGGGAAAUGUUCCUCGCCGUUUUCUGUCUCGUCUCCUUCCUCGUGCAGAUCUUGCUCGUCACAGAGGGAGGAAUCUAUGUGUUCCAGCUUCUGGACUACUAUGGCGGCAACGGAGCGUGUCAGCUCUGCGUGGCCCUGGCUGAGUGUGUCGCUGUGGGCUGGGCCUUCGGUGCUGACAGAAUGUGUGACGCCAUCAAAGACAUGGGUGGACAGAGGCCUUGCAUUCUCUUCAAAUACUGCUGGCUCUACAUCACUCCCCUGCUCUGCCUGAAAUAGUUGUAUAAAUGUAUUUUGGAAACCAAGCUGAAAGCUCUAAUGGACAGAGUCUCAAAGCGAGGGCUAGCUUCAUUCACUAUACUGUGGAAAGCGAACCGCUGACCUCCAACCGGGGCCACGAGUUCCCCGGCUGGGCCUAUGGUCUGGGAUGGGUCAUGGCUUUUUCCUCGGUCUUCAUGAUCCCUCUAUGGGCGAUACUGAACAUAUGUCGCACAAAGGGUAGCCUGCGCGAGCGCCUGUCCAUCCUUUGUCGGCCUGUAGAGGAGGAGUAUUCAGCAGGCCUUCCAUGCCAAACAGAGAUGGGGGGCCCUUUCUUGCAUCCGGCGCAAUUGAAAUAAUCCCUGCGCAUGUGACGUUGCUCUUCUGCAACUGGCGCAGAGCGUUCUUUCCCUCCUGCGUCACACGUCUGUAAAUUAGGGAAUGAUCUUGCGCCCCAAGGGGCGGUUCGGUGAAAGGAGGAGGCAUGUUCUGGCGCAAACGUUCCCUGAUGCUAUUUUGCAGUUUCAGAAACCACUUGCGCCACAAACCAGGAAAUACCUGGUUUAAAGUCAGUGGCGCAUUGUUCAGAUGCUAUUUUAAGGGCGCAUGCAUAAUGUUGCUUGUGUACCUCG